rnacentral:rRNA from 1 species
UACGUAGGGGGCUAGCGUUGUCCGGAAUCAUUGGGCGUAAAGGGUGCGUAGGCGGCGCGGUAAGUCGGGUGUGAAAUCUCGGAGCUUAACUCCGAAACUGCAUUCGAUACUGCCGUGCUUGAGGACUGGAGAGGAGACUGGAAUUUACGGUGUAGCGGUGAAAUGCGUAGAUAUCGGGAGGAACACCCGUAGCGAAGGCGGCACUCUGGGCCGGUACUGACGCUGAGGAGCGAAAGCGUGGGGAGCGAACAGG